rnacentral:lncRNA from 1 species
AGAGAGAGAGAGAGGCAGAGACACAGGCAGAGGGAGAAGCAGGCUCCAUGCACCGGGAGCCCGACGUGGGAUUCGAUCCCGGGUCUCCAGGAUCGCGCCCUGGGCCAAAGGCAGGCGCUAAACCGCUGCGCCACCCAGGGAUCCCUAUAAAUUGGUGUUUUGUCGUUGCCACUUAUACAGAUGGGAAACUGAGGCUCUGAAGGUUAAAUAAAUGGCAGUACUGAAUCUAGAAUGCUGGUUGCGUGGGUUCGUCACCCAGGCUCUUAAAGACUAAGCAAUUUUGUUUUGAGAGACAACAUAACACAAAUAAUAGCAAACCAGCAGUUUAGAGGAAGCAUUUCCUAACACUGAUAUCUGAGCCUUCAAAAUGACAAUACGGUUUGACAAAGGAGUUAGUUUUCUGAUUUGGGGAUGUCCCAGGUCAGUUGAAAAAAAAAAUUUUUUUAAUUUUAAGGCUGGAGGAACAUGAUAUAGAGCUGACAACUUUUUUGUUUGUGUGUGCCGAGUAAGAACAUGAAAAUGGUAAGUACCAAGAAUAGUGAACAACAUUUUAUGAAAUAAUAAUACUUCAGCACCAAAAAAAGGAAAGAAAGAGCACCCCCUAAAACACAGAGGACCUUGUUUUAAAAAUGUGAGUAAAUUCAGCUUUGUGAGAAAAAAUGUACACCAUCUAUCUCUUUCUCACUUGCCUCUGACAGCUGAAAAACAGUCACAGAAUACCAAUGGUGCAUAACUAGCAUUUGAGAUCCCCUGAAAAUGUCUCUGUGGAGUUUCUGUGACCCUGUAACAGCAUGGACCCAAAAGUAGAACUGAGAUUCCAUCCUUCUCCUGGUGGGAUUUUAGAGGCUCUCAAAAUUAAGUCUCUUAAGAACCAGAAAUCAGAAAACACAGAAUGUCUGUGGAAAAUGACCAGAGUGGGAGCCCUCAAUUUACGAUUUUCAUGCAAGAUGCACAUAGCACUCACACAUAUGAACAAACCACUGCAAUCUUUGAGAAACAGUACAGUGACACUCACUGUAAGGCUAUAAUUUCAGUCUUGAAUGAAACUGAUGACUAUUAUUUUAAAAAGAACAUAAUAUGCUUGAAGAAAAUAUAAGAUUAACACCAGAACAUUAUUAGAUUUUCCCAAGGCUAACACACUUGGCAGUAUUUUUCUACUUUGGUAAAGAAUUUGAGUUGCUUAUAAAUUUAUGCUGAGCCCCGUUGGAUGCUUUCAGAGGCUGAAGCAAGCAGCCCCAUUCUUUCAGAGGGUUGUGUUUUUAAUACCUACUGUUCCUAUAUUUCCAUUAGAAUGCAAUUAUCCUUCUUGGGAAAAAGUAAAGGUCACUGGGUUAAUGGAGCUCACCUCUCUUUUUUAGUCCAUAAAUAAUAAAUCAAAUAUAAUAUUUAAAAAGAAACCACAUCCUGCAUAUCACUGUAUUUGUGAUGCUUUUUUUUUUCCAUAGGACAUUUGAGUACAUGGCACUUACUAUGGCCAUAAUCAUUGCUGUCCAUCAAAUUCCCACAGCACUGGUUCAGUAAAGAAGUAUACAGCAUGCAUCUAUUAAAUUGAUAUUCAUCAAUACUAAAACGUUGAAGAAAUUUCCCAUGACACUUUCAAAUCAGAUUACAGUACAUUCCACUCUGAAUUCGAGAAGCAUAUCACAGAAUGAUUUAUCCUGGCAAAUAUACAGAAAAUCUCAUGAGCUUUAUCUGAUAAGCAUUGACAAAGGUAUCCAUUUAAAAAAUUCUAAAUAAAUACAGAUUGAAGCACUUUCCUCUGCUUCCAGAAUGACUUACCAACCAACAGUACUUGUGAGUAGACAGUAGACAGUGCUUAUGACUACUACUACUAAUAAAUAUCUCCAGGCAAGAUUCUGCUGCCACUAGUUUUCCUAAUGAAAAAAAAAACAAAGACUUUCUGCCAGCUAAAUAGCUGAAUAGGGCUCUCAGCCCAAAAGAGCCUAAUCAAUGCUUUCACUUCAGGCUUCCCAAGGGAUCAACUAAGCAAUCGCUCCAGUACCUGGCACAUCAAGAUUUAUAAGGCAGAAUAGGAACACAUGGCCUAAAUAGCUUUGGAAAGCCAUUUGUUUCGAGUAAUGAUAAAUUAAAAAAGAAAGAAAAAAAAACUUAGGGCCACUAAUGUUAAAUCACCAUCACUCUGAAACUAAGGCUAUGUGACUCAUGAGAUUUACCCAAGAAAGAUGUUUUAAAUAAAAAGGAAAUUUUUUUAAAAGAAAGUAAAUUAUAAUACACACUGGAGCCUGCCUAAGAUGGCUCAGUGGUUGAGCAUCUGCCUUGGGCUCAGGUUGUGAUCCCAAGGUCCUGGGAUUGAGUCCUGCCUCAGGCUCCCUGCAGGGAGCCUGCUUCAUCCUCUACCUAUGUCUGCCUCUCUGUGUCUCUCAUGAAUAAAUAAAUAAAAUCUUAAAAAAAAAAGAACUAUUAAACACUUAUAAAUCACAUUCCUCCAAAAUAAUGAAAAUGAAAAACUGCUUUUCACUUGUCCCAGGAUUCUGUGACAAAAUGCCCUUCAAUUGUCAACCAGAAUCACACACAGCUCCUGCCUCAUCAAGAAUUUCUGCAACAUCACAGAAUAUCCCCGUGAAUAGGCGCUUUAACUUCAAAUUAUAAACCUAGCAAUGAACCAGCCAACUGUUUUCCUAAGCAACACAGCAUUUAUAGUCACAACUUUUUAAAAAGUUAAUUUGAAGGGUUGUAUCCGUCAAUGACAUAUCAUUAUUUUUAACUACAAUUAGCAACAGGAGUAAAGACUAUACCAUGUAGUGAGUAUUGCUCUGCCAGGCACGGAUCUGAUAGUUCCAUGAGGAUUUUCUCAUUUAAUCCUUGAAAAAUUCCUCUGGUCUGAGAUGGGUGACAGGAUGUACACCACCCCAAAAUAUACCACUUUGGCAUAAGGAUUAUUUUCAACUAGAGACACUUAGGAAACAGCAGAGAGUUAGACUGUAAGAAGAGCAUUCUAAUAUCCUUCUUUUCUUCCUGAAAAUGGGAGAUUAAGAACUCCCAUGUGACAGAUGCCUUCCCUCUAUCAGGAACAAAGAAACUUUCUUCAACAGGGAGGCAAAGUCGAGAAAUUCUAUACAAAGCUUAUUAAAAAUAAUUCUUGGGAUCCCUGGGUGGCUCAGCGGUUUAGCGCCAUUUUAAAAAAAUAAUAAUUCUUAAAAAAAUAAUAAUAAUUCUUAACGGGCACUUUAUAGAAGUUUGCUACUUCAUUGGGUCUUCAUGUCAUGAGGAGGGCUCCUAUAUCACAUAAACCUUAUAUAAAUUUGUAUGCUUUUCUCUGGGUAAUCUGUUGUAUGUCAGUUUAAUUUUCUGCCCCAGAUGAAAAAUCCUGAGAAGGCAGAGAGCAAAGUUUGCCUCCCCUACAUCUGUGAUGGUUUAUUAUCUAAUCAAGGCUACUGAUCCAUGAGCACAACGUGUUAAUAGCUAACAUUUAAAUAGAGAUACUUAAUUUUCCUUAGUAUUCAUUUUCAAUGUAAAUAUUUUGGGCUUUGAAGUUUAUGUAGGCUUUCCAAAAGGACUUUCUUAAAACAGUAAUCAUUUUUAUGAAUAUCAUCAAAUACUUCUUCACUCAUUAUCAGAAAUUUUACAUCUAUUUUACAUAAAAUUGAAGUAGGCUGAUUGGUAUUUACUUAUAAGGCAGAUUUCCUGGAAAAUAAAAACAAAUCCAUCUCUUAG